rnacentral:rRNA from 1 species
UGGGGAAUUUUGGACAAUGGGCGCAAGCCUGAUCCAGCCAUGCCGCGUGCGGGAAGAAGGCCUUCGGGUUGUAAACCGCUUUUGUCAGGGAAGAAAUCUUCUGAGUUAAUACCUCGGGAGGAUGACGGUACCUGAAGAAUAAGCACCGGCUAACUACGUGCCAGCAGCCGCGGUAAUACGUAGGGUGCAAGCGUUAAUCGGAAUACUGGGCGUAAAGCGUGCGCAGGCGGUUUUGUAAGACAGAGGUGAAAUCCCCGGGCUCAACCUGGGAACUGCCUUUGUGAUUGCAAGGCUUGAGUGCGGCAGAGGGGGGAUGGAAUUCCGCGUGUAGCAGUGAAAUGCGUAGAUAUGCGGAGGAACACCGAUGGCGAAGGCAAUCCCCUGGGCCUGCACUGACGCUCAUGCACGAAAGCGUGGGGAGCAAACAGGAUUAGAUACCCUGGUAGUCCACGCCCUAAACGAUGUCAACUGGUUGUUGGGAAGGUUCCUUCUCAGUAACGUAGCUAACGCGUGAAGUUGACCGCCUGGGGAGUACGGCCGCAAGGUUGAAACUUAAAGGGGAUUGACGGGGUCAUAGCUGUUUCC